UUGCUGAAGCUAUGUUAGUCGAUGUAGUCAAUUUGUUCUACAUGUUGUAACUAAACUUUUCAGGCCUCCAACAACCACAAUACCAGUAGCGCUGUGUGAUGUUAAAGAAGCAAUGUUUCGAAUAACCGCCAACGUCAAUUCAUGGUCCUUGAGCACUUCGUCACUCCGAGAAGCCGUCGUUUCACCUUCGUCAAGUUCCGUAGAUGAUCUACCGUAUGAAAUGGGAACGAAUGAAAAACAGACUUUGACAACAAUAACAAAAACAUAUUGACAUGAGUAAUUCAACAAUAGUAGCAUAUACAACGAUAUUAGAACAAAAACAUUCAUCAACAAGUUGCAUUUUCAACACUUUUUCACAGAACAAUUAUAAUGAAGUUAAAAGAGAGUUGUGAACUUAUCAGGCAAUUUGAGGUCUAUAAAACAACAAUUUUAUUACACCAUACCUUUGUCCAGAACGAGAAGUGGAAGGACCCCAAAGCUUUCUUAACAUUGUUUGCAACCAGUGAGAGAAAUGGAACUCUAAAUCCUCUUUGAAAUCCGAGCAAAUAUUGGGAAUAUCAAGUUGAUAGGAUACUUCAAAUUCAUGCCUACAACAAUCACAGGAGGAACAAAGAUUUACAUGUAGGCAAAAUUUACAUGAAGUUUUUAUGGAACACAUGACUAAAGGAACUUGCAAGUUAGACGGCAGUAAUGCGCUCUCUACAAUACCAGGUUAUCCACAAGUAUACAUAUAAAUACCUGGAAUCCGACAUAGUCAUCACCUCAUGACGAUCCUCUGGUGGUAAAAGUGAAGCUAAUUGAUCUGCAAAGAUAUUUAUAUUGUUAAAACUGUAACAUAAAAUGGAACUUCAUAAAGUAUGGCGUAAAAUACGAAUUCUAAGGUCAACUUUUGCUUACCAGUCAUUGAUUGUUUAGUUUCAUCAAUGGACUGGGAAAGAGCUAAUCCACAUCGCGCUGUAAGAUUCCUUCCCAGGCCAUUAGCAAUAUGAGUGACCAGAUCUCGUUUGUAAAUUUCAAUGACAGUAGAAUGCGCAUGAAAUGGAUGAUCAAACUGAUUUACAAGUAUUCCUAAACGUUUUAUUUCAUCAUUCAUUGCUGUGGCAACCUUGAAAUAAAAAAUACAGUUUUAUUUCUCAAAAGUCAUCACGAUUUCCUAGUUAAACUAGCUAAAUAUACCACAGGACAUCUUGAUCGGACAAGCAGGUAAAAGCAUGUUAAAGAUCGUAUAAUUACACACUUAAAAUAAGAAUCUUUAUUGAAUGAGGAAAAGACUUAUAUUUUCCAAAUUAGCUUCCCAUCAAAUGCCAACAAAAAGGAGAAAAAAGUGUUAGCAUUCUUUCAGAAGAAUGUAUGUAUAGCUACAAUGAAUGGUUACAAUGUAAAUCCGUUAAACUCAUGAAGUUCUUUGA